rnacentral:pre_miRNA from 1 species
UGAUAAACCACUGGGUGAAAUGGUAACUCUAGCUUUCUGAAGAACCACCGAACUAUUUUCCAAAGCAACUGCACCAUUUUAAAAUCCUACAAGCAAU